CUGGUAAAUCCGGUGACUUAUUCAACCCUGAGGCGUGAUGACGAUGCACUACGGUGCAGAAGUAGUUGAUGCCAAGCUUCCAGGAAAAGCCUCUAAGCAUCAGGUAACACAGAAUCGUACCCCAAACCGACACAGGUGGUCAGGUAGAGAAUACCAAGGCGCUUGAGAGAACUCGGGUGAAGGAACUAGGCAAAAUGGUGCCGUAACUUCGGGAGAAGGCACGCUGGCGCGUAGGUGAAGAGACUUGCUCUCGGAGCUGAAGCCAGUCGCAGAUACCAGCUGGCUGCAACUGUUUAAUAAAAACACAGCACUGUGCAAACACGAAAGUGGACGUAUACGGUGUGACGCCUGCCCGGUGCUGGAAGGUUAAUUGAUGGGGUCAGCCGCAAGGCGAAGCUCUUGAUCGAAGCCCCAGUAAACGGCGGCCGUAACUAUAACGGUCCUAAGGUAGCGAAAUUCCUUGUCGGGUAAGUUCCGACCUGCACGAAUGGCGUAAUGAUGGCCAGGCUGUCUCCACCCGAGACUCAGUGAAAUUGAACUCGCUGUGAAGAUGCAGUGUACCCGCGGCAAGACGGAAAGACCCCGUGAACCUUUACUAUAGCUUGACACUGAACAUUGAGCCUUGAUGUGUAGGAUAGGUGGGAGGCUUUGAAGCGUGGACGCCAGUCUGCGUGGAGCCAACCUUGAAAUACCACCCUUUAAUGUUUGAUGUUCUAACUCGGCCCCGUAAUCCGGGGUGAGGACAGUGUCUGGUGGGUAGUUUGACUGGGGCGGUCUCCUCCCAAAGAGUAACGGAGGAGCACGAAGGUUAGCUAAUCACGGUC
rnacentral:rRNA from 1 species